AUUCCCCAUUAAUUAAAUCCCACAUUUCCCAUUAAUUAAAUCCUAUAUUCCCUAUAAAAUAAAUCCAAUUAUUCCCUAUUAAAUAAAUCCAAUUAUUCCCUAUUAAAUCCAAUUACUAAUAAUAAAUAAUAAUAAAUAAAAAAUCCCAUUUUCCUUUUCAAUAAAUCCCAAAAUUCCCAAUUUUCACCUUUUUUCCCCUUCAUUUUAAUCUCCAAAUCCCCCCUAAAAAAAUAAACUAAAAAUCCAAACAAAACCUCAAACUGGAAUUUUCCCUUUUUUCCAAUUUAUUCCAAAAAAAAAAAAAAUUCCGAGGAAGAAAAAAAAGACAAAGAAUUCCCAGAAAUUCCAUUGGAGGGGGAUUUAUUUCUGCAGGAAAAGAGCCGGGAAUUUACAGCUUUUUUUUGGGAAUUUUCGCACGGAUCCAAGCUGGGAUUUUUGGGAUUUCUCCUUUUUUUUUUUUUUCCCCCACCAAACAGAAGCAAAAACAACAACAAAACCAAAAAAUCCCGGAAAAAAACCACCCCAAAUCCAACUUUUUUUUUCACCCCAAACUUCAAACCCGGCGGGAAAAGGGAAUUCCGACCAUUUUUUCCCAAUUUCCCGGGAAUUCACCCCAAAAAUCCGUCGGUUUUUUAAUGGGAAGUCCAUGCGAUGGUGGCGGGAAAUUCCCGGGAUGAUCCAGACGGGCGAACGGACAGCUCAUGUUUGCUGUUAAUUAAUUAAUUAAUGAGUAAUUAAUUAAUUAAUUGGCGGGUCGUUCUGGUUGGGUUUUUGGGGAGGAAAGGGCGGGAAUGAGUUAAAUAAACAUGCGGGGGUGGGGGAGGGGCUGGGCCAGGCGGGGCCGCGGCGGUGGUGACGUCAUCGGUGACGUCAUCGUCUUCAUCAUCGUCAUCGGUGACGUCAUCGUCUUCGUCAUCGGUGUCAUCGUUGUCUUCUUCAUCAUCGGUGUCAUCGUCGUCUUCAUCGUCAUUGUCAUCAUCAUCAUCAUGGUCGUCGUUGUCGGUCAUUGUCACCAUUGUUGGGUCAUUGUCAUUGUCACCAUUGUUGGGUCAUUGUCAUGGUCACCAUCGUUGGCCAUGGUCAUGGUCACCAUUGUUGGUCAUCGUCAUCAUUGUUGGGUCAUCGUCAUUGUCACCAUCGUUGGUCAUGGUCAUGGUCACCAUUGUUGGUCAUGGUCACCAUUGUUGGUCAUUGUCAUCAUUGUUGGGUCAUCGUCAUUGUCACCAUCGUUGGGUCAUCAUCACUGUCACCACUGUUG
rnacentral:lncRNA from 1 species